UGCCUCCCACAAGAGAGUGUCUCUUCGACAGUUUUCCCAGAUCUCGCCUCUGUGUUUCUCCUCUCACCUCUCGGCUCUGCAUUUCUCCUCCUCCAUUCCGUUUUUCUCCUCACCUCUCUACUCUGUGUUUCUCCUCCUCCACUCCAUUCUGCUUCUCCAAAAAUCACACUGCGUUUCUCCUCUUCCACUCCAUCAUCUUGCUGCACGCCGUUGGUUCUCUCAGUUGUUGUUCCGCUUAAUCCAGUCAUCAGCUCUAUCAUUGAUUCUCCUCCAUUGUCGUUGCUUCAUCCUCCUCCACUCUGUUGCCAAUACCAUUGAGUUGCUCGCUGCUCACUGUUUUUCUCUCCAUUGAAACGGUUGCUGCAAAUUAUGUUGCCAUGGUGUCAUUUGGAUAAAUAUUUGAUAGUUCCUUGGAGAAAGGUCAACCUUAUAUUUUCCGUGUUGGAUCUGGCCAGGUGAUUAAGGGACAUGAUGAAGGGAUUUUUGACUAUGAAAAUUUGGUGGGAAACGUUGACUCUACAUUCGUUGACCUGAAGUAGCAGAGAAACUUAUGUUGCAAGUAAAGGGAUGAGAU